UGAUCCUACGGGGCGCAGCAGUGGGGAAUAUUGGGCAAUGGGCGCAAGCCUGACCCAGCAACGCCGCGUGAAGGAAGAAGGCUUUCGGGUUGUAAACUUCUUUUCUCAGGGACGAAGAAAGUGACGGUACCUGAUGAAUAAGCUCCGGCUAACUACGUGCCAGCAGCCGCGGUAAUACGUAGGGAGCAAGCGUUAUCCGGAUUUACUGGGUGUAAAGGGCGCGUAGGCGGGAUGGCAAGUCAGAUGUGAAAUCCAGGGGCUCAACCCCUGAACUGCAUUUGAAACUGUCGUUCUUGAGUACUGGA
rnacentral:rRNA from 1 species